rnacentral:lncRNA from 1 species
UCCCAAAAUGCUGAAAUUACAUGUGUUAGCCAUAGUAAUAGUUCCUAGCCAUAGUCCAGAGAUAUUUUAAAAACUUUAGUGUGAGUUAUUUCUCUUUGCUAUAAUUCUCUCAUGCAUUUUGAAAACCUUUUCUGCCAUACAGUGGUUUUUGGGAAGUCCUUUUGGACAGACAUAUCACAGGAUGGAGAAACUAAAAAGAGAGAGAAUGCAUUAAAGAAAAAAUAGUACUUCAUAUUUCAGAAAUUACAAAAGGUUGUCAUGCCCCACAGCAUGGUGGGCAGUCAUUUGUAACCCACAGAACAUUGAGUUUCUAAAAUUUGAGUGUUUUUUAACUUACGAAGGCCAACUUUACUGAUGAAGUGGUUACCCCAAAUAUGUGAAAUCCAUAUUUCAAGCACAAUAGCAGGAAAUCGGAAAUGGAUAGUUCAUUGUUAGUGUAUGAAAAAACUACUGAUUUUUUAUGUUGAUUUUAUAUACUGCAACUUUAUUGAAUUCUCAAUAAAUGGUGUUGAAAAAACUGGAUGUCCUCAUGAAGAAGAAUGAAAUUGAACACAUCACAUCCCAUAUACAAGAAUCAACUCAAAAUGGGUUGAAGACUUAAAUAUAAGAUCUGAAACUAUAAAACUAGAAAUAAAAAAUGUAAGAGAAAAGCUCCA